CAAGGCUCAAGAACUGAAAUGCUACUACGUUUUCAGUUUCUCCAGAGGUCAGGCAGCCAUUGUUGGUCUACCAAGCCUGUAUCAUAUCCUUCAUCUAGCAACUGAUGGAAGUAGAAGCAGAUACCCACAGCAGAAAAACUUAAUUGAACUGGAACUCAGUUGCAGAGAAGGAGAAGUGAUGAGCAAAGGGGUCAAGGCCGUGCUGUUGAAACUCAGAAUCAGCUGACCUGAGAAACAGGGAGCACUUGGCCCACAGUCUGAUCACUGGGAAACCAGCAUGGAACUGAUCCAGACCCCACAAAUGUGGGUGUCAGUGAGGAGACCUCAGAAAUCUAUGGGGCUUCUUGUAGUAGCUCAGUACUUAUCCCUAGCAUAGGAAUGGACUUUGGGAGCCCAUUUCACAUAGAGGAAUACUCCCUCAGCCUAGAUACAUGAGGAAGGGCCUAGGCCCUAUCCUAAAGGAUAUGACAGACUCUGAAGACCCACCCAUGAAAGGCCUCACUCUCCCUGGGAGCAGAAAAGGUAUUGGAUAGGUAGGGUGUUAGUGGGGGGCCAAGGGAGGAGAGGAUGGUGAGGAAAUGGGAAUUGACAUGUAAAACAAUCUUGCUUCUAAUUUAAAUUUUAAAAAUGAAAGCUCCAUGAUAGAAAGAGCUCAUAGUUCUCUAUGUGGGCCACAGGGCAGCCAAUGUGAAAUAUUUUUACUGAAUUUACAAAUGAGUGAAUAUAUAUAUAUAUAUAUAGAUAGAUAUAGAUAGAUAUAUAGAUAGAUAUAGAUAGAUAUAGAUAGAUAUAUAUAUAUAGUACAUUCUCAUGCUCACUUAUUACUGAAUGGCUACAAUGCUUUUCAAUUAUGAUAUUCUAUAACAUUUAAAAUCUGUGUCAUGUUAGUUAACCCAGUGUUAUCAAUAUCUACAUUAAUACUGUUGUAAACUUGUUCUUCAGUAGUGCUCAAUAUAAGUGCUUAUAAAAUAUUAUAUAUGUUAAAACAAUCACAAUUAAUAGGAUUAUAAAUGCCUCAAGAAAGCGCAGGGGAUCUACUUUGGUAUCCAUUUCUUUCUUCUUUGCUUUUAAAAAAGCACGGUAAGACGUAGGAGCAUUUGGAAAUCUUGAGUUCUCUGUUGUGUCUGUACAUGCAUAGACAUGACAUCAGUAAUGAAACACAGAAGAGUAACUUAUGCAAAAAGAGAAAAUGGUCAGAGGGGGACUGGAAUGAGAGCUUCUAUUGCACAGAAGGAGUAUUUGAGUUUCCCUUAAGGUAUGAUGGGUAAUUAAAGAUUGUGUGAUACAUUUCAGUAUUCUGAGUUUCAUAACAGUUAGAAUAUUCAAUCCAGUUGGUAUGAGGCAAAGUAGACUUCAAAGGGAAUUAUACCUCCAGAUAUCUUCAUAUGUGAGUUUAGAAUAUUUUAGGAAUUAAGCAAAUUGGUACAUGACCAGAGCUGUAAUGUUACAUGCAAGCUUGAAAAAAGAGUCAUUAACAGUAUAAUCAGGUAAAAAGGAUGAUAAAACAUUUAAAGGUUUCAUUUUGAUGAGAAGUUUCAUCUGCUUUCUUUUCUAUUUGUCAAUUUACUGUACUGAUUACGAAUAAAAUUUACCCAUAUUUAACCCACUUUUCCACUACAAUUUACUGUUUCCAGACAUUUACUACUUUUCCAAAGUAAUGUUUUGCUCAAAGGAAUGCAUAAAUUUAUCUUUUAGCAUUCUUUUUCCAGGCAAACUAGGCCAACUACAUUAUCUUUCCCACACAGACUGUGCAUUUCACCAUAACAGAGCCCCUGUCUUUUCCAUUUCAUUCC
ensembl:lncRNA